rnacentral:rRNA from 1 species
GGGGAAUAUUGGACAAUGGGCGCAAGCCUGAUCCAGCCAUACCGCGUGGGUGAAGAAGGCCUUCGGGUUGUAAAGCCCUUUUGUUGGGAAAGAAAUCCAGCCGGCUAAUACCUGGUUGGGAUGACGGUACCCAAAGAAUAAGCACCGGCUAACUUCGUGCCAGCAGCCGCGGUAAUACGAAGGGUGCAAGCGUUACUCGGAAUUACUGGGCGUAAAGCGUGCGUAGGUGGUCGUUUAAGUCCGUUGUGAAAGCCCUGGGCUCAACCUGGGAACUGCGCUUGUGACUGCCAGGCUAGAGUACGGCAGAGGGGGGUGGAAUUCCACGUGUAGCAGUGAAAUGCGUAGAGAUGUGGAGGAACACCGAUGGCGAAGGCAGCCCCCUGGGCCUGUGCUGACGCUCAUGCACGAAAGCGUGGGGAGCAAACA